rnacentral:lncRNA from 1 species
GAAAAGCCAGGUAGUCAAAUGCUCAAAAUGUUAAGGUACUGACUUCCAAGGGACUGCUUGAGAGUUGAGACUCAAGCCUAUAAGUUAGCUCAAGCUAAUAUGUGUCAUGGAGAGCUCCUUCAGCAAUUGCAGCUGAUAUUGGUACCUGCUUUCUUCCACUCAUUCUUUUCUCACAGCAAUAGGGUUUUAUUUCUGUUAGAUCUCAUUUAUUAGGCAUCUUUUUCCAUAUUUGUUCACAUUGCUACUGUAUAAUCCUUGUAAGCAUCCGCCGAAUGAUGCAACAAGUAUUGACAUCAUCCAAUGUUCAGUAAUUAGCAAAAUUAGUAGUUUCUGACGUUUCUUAUCAGUCUUCCUGAAUAAUCUCGUUCUUCUAUAAUAGGUACAAUAAAAAUAUUGUUUGGUUCCAUUCAAAAAAAAAAAAAAUAUAUUGUUUGGUUGGAGUACAUGGAUGGCCGAUUGAGGUAUCUAAGUGGCCUUCGUAAAUAUAUUGUUUGGUUGGAGUACAUGGAUGACAAUAAAAAUAUUGUUUGGUUCCAUUCAAAAAAAAAAAAAAUAUAUUGUUUGGUUGGAGUACAUGGAUGGCCGAUUGAGGUAUCUAAGUGGCCUUCGUAAACUGUUGUGUGUUAUAUAGAAGUUCAAAUGUUGGUACUCUGCAUAUUAUUCAUGGAAGCAUCUGGAUCCACCGACAUUCAAGAUUCAAGACCAGCAGCAGUCUUCAUCUGAUUGAAAAACUAUUGCUACCCUUCAAAUGUUGAAUUGAAGCUUUCAACACAACCCCUAUCAGCACUUGUUGGCUGUACUAUUUUGAUAUUGAUAACCAUUAGAUAAAUACUUGAUGCAUAAGCCUAAACCGUCUGAUGAUUCUGCUUCUUGGGUAGGAGGAUGGCAGAAGCAUCUAAUGGCCCAAUCUAUCUUCAUGUAUAUACUUUCAAAACUAAUUUCCUAGCAAUGAUAUUUAGAUUUGCUGUACUUGCUUCUUGUUCAAGAUUGAGUUGUGACUGUUGUUACAGUUGAUAAGUCUCCUAACAAAAUAACUAAUUGCCCG